rnacentral:snRNA from 1 species
CGCUGUCUACGAGUCGGG